rnacentral:rRNA from 1 species
AGUGAUCGUCCCGCAAGGGGAUGUUGAGGCUACGGCCAAGACAGAUUGUUUGACAUCAACACCAAAAACCUCUCGUUUGUUCCCACGGUCGCCCGUACCGUAAACCGACACAGGUGGGUGGGUAGAGUAUACCCAGGCGCGUGAGUGAAACCUCGUUAAGGAACUCGGCAAUCUAGCCCCGUAACUUCGGAAGAAGGGGUGCCAGUCGCAAGACUGGCCGCAGUGAAGAGGGUCAACCGACUGUUUAACAAAAACACAGCACUCUGCCAAGUCGCAAGACUACGUAUAGGGUGUGACACGUGACCAAUGCGGAAAGAUUACGGUAAGAGGUUAGCGCAAGCGAAGCUUCGAGCCCAAGUCCCCGUGAAUGUCGGCCGUAACUAUAACGGUCCUAAGGUAGCGAAAUUCCUUGUCGGGUAAGUUCCGACCUGCACGAAUCGUGUAACGAGUUGACCGCUGUCUCAACGAGGAGCUCAGCGAAGUUGUAGUGGCGGUGAAGAUGCCGCCUACCCGCAGCAGGACGGAAAGACCCUAUGCACCUUUACUGUACGCUGUUACUGUUUUUUCGGUUUUAAUGCUUAGCGUAAGUGGUAGACUUUGAUUCAUUCCUUUCGGGGGAUGAUGAGUCGUCAAUGAAACACCACCCUUUGACACUGGAAAAUCUAACCUCUCGCCAUCAACUGGCAGAGGGACACUGGCAGCCGGUCAGUUUUACUGGGGCGGUAUCCUCCCAAAGAGUAACGGAGGAGUACGAAGGUUGGCUCAGCCUGGUUGGUAAUCAGGUGGCGAGUAUAUGGAUAUAAGCCAGCCUAACUGUGAGACCUACAAGUCGAGCAGGUGCGAAAGCAGGUCCAAGUGAUCCGGUGGUUGAAUGUGGAAUUGCCAUCGCUCAACGGACAAAAGGUACGCUAGGGAUAACAGCUGAUCGAGUCCAAGAGCUCAUAUCGACGACUCGGUUUGGCACCUCGAUGUCGGCUCAUCACAUCCUGGGGCUGGAGAAGGUCCCAAGGGUCCGGCUGUUCGCCGGUUAAAGUGGUACGCGAGCUGGGUUCAGAACGUCGCGAGACAGUUCGGUCCUUAUCCGCUGUGGGCGCAGGAAGAGUGAGGGGUUCACACCUUAGUACGAGAGGACCGGGUGUGACGAACCACUGGUGUUCCAGUUGUCCUGUCAAGGGCAGUGCUGGGUAGCUAUGUUCGGAAAGGAUAAGCGCUGAAAGCAUCUAAGCGCCAAGCCUCUCCCAAGAUGACUCUUCCCCGAAGGAUCGUGGCAGACCACCACGUUGAUAGGUUUCCGGUGUAAGCACAGUAAUGUGUUCAGCUGAGAAAUACUAAUAAUCCGUUCGGCUUGGUCAA